rnacentral:rRNA from 1 species
AACGAACGCUGGCGGCAUGCCUAACACAUGCAAGUCGAACGAAGUCUUCGGACUUAGUGGCGCACGGGUGCGUAACGCGUGGGAAUCUGCCUUGGGUGCGGAAUAACUUCUCGAAAGGAUGCUAAUACCGCAUAAUGUCGUAAGACCAAAGAUUUAUCGCCCAAGGAUGAGCCCGCGUAAGAUUAGCUAGUUGGUGGGGUAAAAGCCUACCAAGGCGACGAUCUUUAGCUGGUCUGAGAGGAUGAUCAGCCACACUGGGACUGAGACACGGCCCAGACUCCUACGGGAGGCAGCAGUGGGGAAUAUUGGACAAUGGGCGAAAGCCUGAUCCAGCAAUGCCGUGUGCAGGAAGACGGCCCUACGGGUUGUAAACUAGCUUUUGCAGGGGAAUAAACCUCUCUACGUGUAGAGAGCUGAAUGUACUCUGAGAAUAAGGAUCGGCUAACUCCGUGCCAGCAGCCG